GUGGGGAAUAUUGGUCAAUGGGGGAAACCCUGAACCAGCAACGCCGCGUGAAGGAAGAAGGCUUUCGGGUUGUAAACUUCUUUGACAGGGGACGAAACAAAUGACGGUACCCUGAAAACAAGCCACGGCUAACUACGUGCCAGCAGCCGCGGUAAUACGUAGGUGGCAAGCGUUGUCCGGAUUUACUGGGUGUAAAGGGCGCGUAGGCGGGAUAGCAAGUCAGGUGUGAAAUCCGGGGGCUUAACCCUCGAACUGCACUUGAAACUGUUAUUCUUGAGUGAUGGAGAGGCAAGCGGAAUUCCUAGUGUAGCGGUGAAAUGCGUAGAUAUUAGGAGGAACACCAGUGGCGAAGGCGGCUUGCUGGACAUUAACUGACGCUGAGGCGCGAAAGCGUGGGGAGCAAACAGGAUUAGAAACCCGGGUAGUCC
rnacentral:rRNA from 1 species